CAAUCCACAAAAAACAUAAUUGAUCCGGACAAAGUUCAACCAUGAUCAUGCACAAUGAACAAAUAAAAAAAAGUUAAUUAAUCUAUUAACUCAAUUAUAUAAAUCGAGAACAAGAAGUAAUACUUAUCAAAUUAUGAAAAUAAAAUAAAUUUAGCUAAUAUAUUUUUCAUUAUGAAACUUAUAUUGUUAGGAGGGGCAG
rnacentral:lncRNA from 1 species